GUGGAAGAUGGAUAUGUGUUCUUUGCUAACCGAAAACUUGUGACGCUAUUCUCAGCGCCUAACUACUGUGGCGAGUUUGACAACAACUUAUGGAACAUGAUUAAAGUCCAUUAUAUGUUCUGUAUAUCAUACAAUGUUUGGAGCAUAUAUGUUUUUUGGUAGAUCUUUUGCUGAAGCAGAAAUGACACUGUACAUAUGAACUUAAUGUUGGUGCCAUGAUGAGUGUUGAUGAGAGCUUAAUGUGUUCUUUCCAGAUUUUAAAACCAGCUGAUAAGAAGCCAAAGUUUGGAUUUGGCAGUGCUGCAGCUACUACUAGGCCAGGUCCUCCUAGUAAAGUGAAGGAACUAACAAUUGUCUUUACAGAGAGCUUUUUGUCUAAUGAUGAUAUUAAAUGUACUUUGUUACAUUGUAUGUCACUCUGAUAGAAAUUGAUCAUUUACAGAGAGCUUUUUGUCUAAUGAUGAUAUUAAAUGUACUUUGUUACAUUGUAUGUCACUCUGAUAGAAAUUGAUCAUAAUGCACAGUUACAUUGUAUUUAUUAUUAGAAAUGCUAUAAUAAUAAAUUAACAAAAAAAAUUUAAAA